rnacentral:rRNA from 2 species
CCUACGGGGGGCUGCAGUGGGGAAUAUUGGGCAAUGGGGGCAACCCUGACCCAGCGACGCCGCGUGGGGGAAGACGGCCUUCGGGUUGUAAACCUCUUUUGUACGGGAAGAAGGAAGUGACGGUACUGUACGAAUAAGUCCCGGCUAACUACGUGCCAGCAGCCGCGGUAAUACGUAGGGGACGAGCGUUGUCCGGAAUUACUGGGCGUAAAGGGCGCGCAGGCUGUGCUGCAAGUCAGCUGUUAAAUGUCUGGGCUUAACCCGGGCAUGCGGUUGAGACUGCGGUGCUGGAGUGCUGUAGAGGCAAGUGGAAUUCCCAGUGUAGCGGUGAAAUGCGUAGAUAUUGGGAAGAACACCGGUGGCGAAGGCGACUUGCUGGGCAGCAACUGACGCUGAGGCGCGAAAGCCAGGGGAGCAAACGGGAUUAGAUACCCCAGUAGUC